rnacentral:rRNA from 1 species
AAUUGCAGAAUCCCGUGAAUCAUCGAGUCUUUGAACGCAAGUUGCGCCCGAGACCAUCAGGUCGAGGGCACGCCUGCCUGGGCGUCACGCGUUUCGUCGCCCCCACCCCCAACCCGCCACUCCUCGUGCGCGGGCUCGGAAUCGGUGGGGCGGAUGUUGGCUUCCCGUGCGUCCCCGCUCGGUUGGCUGAAAAAAUGCAGCGCCCGUGACGCGGUGCUCGACGGUCGGUGGAUGACACGACAUGGUUCUGUCCCAUCGUCUCGCACCGCGCCGCCCGCGGCUGCAAUAUCGUUGACCCACGAACGUCGCCCGCCGUCUCCCCAGCUGGCUACGCCGGCGACGGAGCGAGCGGCGCGCAUCGAUUCCUCCUGCGACCCCAGGUCAGGCGGGGCUACCCGCUGAGUUUA